CACCCGGCGGGGCCUCCCGGGCCUGCGGGACCCGCUGCUCCCCCCCCGGGCCACCCCAUCCAUCCUGCCCGGCCUCCGCCACCGGCUGCUCCCCCCGGUCACCUCUGGGAGGAGGGAUACACCGGGAGAAGCCCGUCGGGUUUGUCUCUCCGGUUGGAGGCGAGCAGACCAGGCCUCUUCUGAGCAGCCCGGGCGGGACGUCGCCCGUCCCCGAGAGGCUUUUGUGUUGUCACUUCUACAGAGUGCAACGUUUAGCGAAAUCGGGUGAAGCUUUGGCCCGGAGGAGGCUGCGCUGAGCUGAAGGAGCUCGGAGAUCUGGGGGCUGGAUGGAAGUGUUUCUGUGAUCAGCACCUGGAUCAGACUAUCCCAAGCGUGUUGCUGAAAUUCCAAGGAACAGCUUGGACUCAGUUCCUGCUCCAGGUUUGCAGGGCAGGAGCAUCAGCAACGGAUGCAACUUCCCCAAAUGGCCUCGAGUUCAAACAGCCCGUUGGGGGUGGUGGGGCCAAGUGGAGGGGAAGGGAGGUGCGAUGGGGCCUCCCCUGUGCUUAAAGCCUCCUCCGGGGAGUGCUGCUGGCAGAUGAGGAAGCGUCUCCACGCGGUGAGCUGAGCCCCGACCAUGCAGCCCCUCCAGCGCUCCCACCUGCUCCUCCUGCUGGCCCUGCUCGCCCUCUGCGUGCCCCUCGGCCGGGCGGACAAGUUGGAUAAGGGCGAAAAGGCUGAAGAAGCCGCUGAAACCACCACCUCCCCUCCCAAAACCUCCGCAGUUGGCCUGAGCCCUCCCUCCGCAAGCCCCCAACUCUUCUCCCUCACCCUCGGGCUGGCUGGGGCUUUUUUCCUGCGGCUGCGCUGACCGGGAGACUCGCCCCCCCCCGCCACCCGCUCCCACCGAGAAGACACCCCCUCUCUCCCCGGGAUGGCAUCUCCUCACGGCAUGGAGGAACCAGCCGGCACGACUCCAUUACUCCUCCACAGCGGGUCUGCUGUGACUCUCUGAAAACAAUAAAGCGCUGGUGCAGAA